rnacentral:rRNA from 1 species
GAUGAACGCUGGCGGCAUGCCUAACACAUGCAAGUCGAACGGGAGGAUCUUUCGGGGUCCGAGAGUGGCGAACGGGUGAGUAACACGUUGGUGACCUGCCCUAAAGCGGGGGACAACAGAUGGAAACGUCUGCUAAUACCCCACUGGGCCUUAAAGCGUUGGAAGUUUUAAGGUAAAGCUAAAGCACUUUAGGAGGGGCCAGCGGGCUAUCAGCUAGUUGGUAGGGUAACGGCCUACCAAGGCGAAGACGGCUAGGGGCGUGAGAGCGU